rnacentral:rRNA from 1 species
UACAGAGGGGGCAAGCGUUAUUCGGAAUUAUUGGGCGUAAAGGGCGCGUAGGCGGCUUUGCAAGUGACGGGUGAAAUCCCUCGGCUUAACCGAGGAACUGCCUGUCAGACUGCAUGGCUCGAGACCAGGAGAGGUGAGUGGAAUUCCCAGUGUAGCGGUGAAAUGCGUAGAUAUUGGGAGGAACACCAGUGGCGAAGGCGGCUUUCUGGUCCGAUUCUGACGCUGAGGCGCGAAAGCGUGGGGAGCGAUCCGG